rnacentral:rRNA from 1 species
CCUACGGGUGACAGCAGUGAGGAAUAUUGGUCAAUGGACGAGAGUCUGAACCAGCCAAGUAGCGUGAAGGAUGACUGCCCUAUGGGUUGUAAACUUCUUUUAUUUGGGAAUAAAAUGUUCCACGUGUGGGAUUUUGUAUGUACCAUAUGAAUAAGGAUCGGCUAACUCCGUGCCAGCAGCCGCGGUAAUACGGAGGAUACGAGCGUUAUCCGGAUUUAUUGGGGUUAAAGGGAGCGUAGGUGGAGUGUUAAGUCAGUUGUGAAAGUUGGCGGCUCAACCGUAAAAUUGCAGUUGAAACUGGCAGUCUUGAGGACAGUAGAGGUGGGUGGAAUUCGUGGUGUAGCGGUGAAAGGCUUAGAUAUCACGAAGAACUCCGAGUGCGAAGGCAGCUCACUGGACUGCAACUGACACUGAGGCUCGAAAGUGUGGGUAUCAAACAGGAUUAGAUACCCUUGUAGUC